GUAGGUGGCAAGCGUUGUCCGGAAUUAUUGGGCGUAAAGCGCGCGCAGGCGGGGUCCUUUAAGUCUGAUGUGAAAGCCCACGGGCUCAACCGUGGAGGGUCAUUGGAAACUGGGGGACUUGAGUACAGAAGAGGAAAGCGGAAUUCCACGUGUAGCGGUGAAAUGCGUAGAGAUGUGGAGGAACACCAGUGGCGAAGGCGGCUUUCUGGUCUGUAACUGACGCUGAGGCGCGAAAACGUGGGGAGCAAACAGGAUUAGAUACCCUGGUAGUCCACGCCGUAAACGAUGAGUGCUAAGUGUUAGGGGGUUUCCGCCCCUUAGUGCUGCAGCUAACGCAUUAAGCACUCCGCCUGGGGAGUACGGCCGCAAAGGCUG
rnacentral:rRNA from 1 species